rnacentral:rRNA from 1 species
UGAGGAAUAUUGGUCAAUGGGCGCAGGCCUGAACCAGCCAAGUAGCGUGAAGGAUGACUGCCCUCUGGGUUGUAAACUUCUUUUAUAUGGGAAUAAAGUUUUCCACGUGUGGAAUUUUGUAUGUACCAUAUGAAUAAGGAUCGGCUAACCCCGUGCCAGCAGCCGCGGUAAUACGGAGGAUCCGAGCGUUAUCCGGAUUUAUUGGGUUUAAAGGGAGCGUAGGUGGACAGUUAAGUCAGUUGUGAAAGUUUGCGGCUCAACCGUAAAAUUGCAGUUGAUACUGGCUGUCUUGAGUACAGUAGAGGUGGGCGGAAUUCGUGGUGUAGCGGUGAAAUGCUUAGAUAUCACGAAGAACUCCGAUUGCGAAGGCAGCUCACUGGACUGCAACUGACACUGAUGCACGAAAGUGUGGGUAUCAAACAGG